rnacentral:rRNA from 1 species
UACAGAGGUCUCAAGCGUUGUUCGGAUUCAUUGGGCGUAAAGGGUGCGUAGGCGGCGCGGUAAGUCGGGUGUGAAAUCUCGGAGCUUAACUCCGAAACUGCACUUGAUACUGCGGUGCUCGAGGACUGGAGAGGAGACUGGAAUUCAUGGUGUAGCAGUGAAAUGCGUAGAUAUCAUGAGGGAGGCCGGUGGCGAAGGCGGGUCUCUGGACAGUUCCUGACGCUGAGCACGAAGGCCAGGGGAGCAAACGGG